GUUCAGUAUGCUGCGUAUGUAACUGUGGGAGGCAUCACCUCUGUUAUUAAGCUGAUGUUUGCAGGACUUUUCUUUUUGUUCUUUGUGAGGUUUGGAAUUGGAAGGCAACUUCUCAUAAAAUUCCCAUGGUUCUUCUCCUUUGGCUAUUUUUCAAAACAAGGCCCAACACAAAAACAGAUUGAUGCUGCCUCAUUCACGCUGACAUUCUUUGGUCAAGGAUACAGCCAAGGCACUGGUACAGAUAAGAACAAACCAAAUAUCAAAAUUUGUACUCAGGUGAAAGGACCAGGCUGGCUAUGUGGCUACCCCCAUAGCUAUGGUUCAGGCAGCCAUGACUCUUCUAAGUGAUGCUUCUCAUCUGCCUAAGGCGGGCGGGGUCUUCACACCUGGAGCAGCUUUUUCCAAAACAAAGUUGAUUGACAGACUCAACAAACACGGUAUUGAGUUUAGUGUUAUUAGCAGCUCUGAAGUCUAAACACUGGAAGAAUUAACUGAAGUCAUAACGUGCGUGAAUUAACAGCUUCUCUAUUUGAUAUUUGAAAUUCUUCUGUAAGCCUGUCUGAGUGUAUGUGGAAACGAUUGUCAAAUCUAAAAUAUCUAUAUAUUAAAAAGUAGGAAAUUGUCCUAGCUUACCCUAAAUUUC
rnacentral:lncRNA from 1 species